ensembl:lncRNA
UCCACUUUUCCAUCCUUAUUUUUCCCUCCACAGUCGUACUGAGCUCUUAUGCUCAACCUGCGCAUCAUCCGCACAGACUGUGGAAUCAGAGUUUAUUAAUAAUACAAAUGGCUUUCUUAAUGUACUGCUGCAUUUGAGUAGAGGGAAGAAAACAUUUCCUAUUUCUCCAGUGCUGUAUGUAUAUUCACCGGUGGACGUUGUUAGACGACUAGACGAUGCCUUGACUUUCAGUCUUUCAGGAUUUGAAGCAGCGUGAUGGUGAGAUGACAGAAUUUCAAUUUUUGAGGAAACCAUUCCUUUAACAUCUGAAUCUGUCAAAAAAAAAAAAAAGCAAGGUGGGUGAGAGUUAAAGAGACAGAGCAGGAAAGAGAUGAAAGUCUUAUCUCUCUGAACAGAGCCAGAUAGGCUAUCAUUUAUCUGUUUACAGACAGAUGCUCUGAUACAGUGAAAUGACUGCAAAACAUGUGAGUGACAGAGUGAAGGAGAGUGUGAAAGAGAGCGAGAGAGGUGAAAGGAGAGCUGGAGUGACCUUGCUUCAAAUCUCGGUUGGAUGUUUGACAUUGGGGCAUGUUGCAGGGCGCACCAGUGUUGAUCUCUGAUAGCAUGAGCACUCACGAUUUGCUCAUGGCGACAGGAUGAAAAAACCUUUCAUAGUUAUUUUAUGUCUGUUCAGUGAUGCUUUGUUUUUGUUUUUUUGGUGGUGUAAGUUAUGACAAUGUACAGAAACACUGUAUUUUGUUCCAUGAUAGGCUCAUAUUUCAGUCUAAGAGAUGUGCUGUGAUAUUGGCUUCUUGAUGCAGGACUCUCACUCGCUGAUUUGUUUCUCUCAUCAGUCCCGUGGGUAAUUUAGCUAGUGAAAUCACACCUUUCUGUCUCUUCGCUCUUCUUCGAUUUCCUGUCCCGAAGGUGGCCAAUCACACAGCGGUGUCCUUGGGGCCCAGCCUUGGGUAGGGGGACGGAUGAGGGGGGCCACGUUCCCCCCAUCCCACCUCACCCUCUUAUAUUUAUUGUGCCGAAGACAAGCCUUCUCACUCUCUCUCUCUCUCUC